ACGGGAGGCAGCAGUGGGGAAUAUUGGGCAAUGGGCGAAAGCCUGACCCAGCAACGCCGCGUGAAGGAAGAAGGUCUUCGGAUUGUAAACUUCUUUUAUGAGGGACGAAGGACGUGACGGUACCUCAUGAAUAAGCCACGGCUAACUACGUGCCAGCAGCCGCGGUAAUACGUAGGUGGCAAGCGUUAUCCGGAUUUAUUGGGUGUAAAGGGCGCGUAGGCGGGGAUGCAAGUCAGAUGUGAAAUCCAUGGGCUUAACCCAUGGACUGCAUUUGAAACUGUAUUUCUUGAGUGUCGGAGAGGUAGACGGAAUUCCUAGUGUAGCGGUGAAAUGCGUAGAUAUUAGGAGGAACACCAGUGGCGAAGGCGGUCUACUGGACGAUAACUGACGCUGAGGCGCGAAAGCGUGGGGAGCAAACAGGAUUAGAUACCCUGGUA
rnacentral:rRNA from 1 species